rnacentral:misc_RNA from 2 species
AAAAAAGGAUAUAUUACUAGCAUUGCGGCUCUGUGAAGGGUGCAUAUAUUUUGUGAAUAGCCGGGUCUUAUGCAAUGGGACUUUGCGAAACGUGUCAGGUCGGGAACGAAGCAGCACUAAGCAUUUCAUCUCAUGUGUUGUAAGGUGCCUUGUUACUUUGCAGGGUAUGUGCAUCCGUCACAGGGUCGCAGUUUUUUU